rnacentral:rRNA from 1 species
UACGGAGGGGACUAGCGUUGUUCGGAAUUACUGGGCGUAAAGCGCACGUAGGCGGAUUUGUAAGUCAGGGGUGAAAUCCCGGGGCUCAACCCCGGAACUGCCUUUGAUACUGCGAAUCUCGAGUCCGGAAGAGGUGAGUGGAAUUCCUAGUGUAGAGGUGAAAUUCGUAGAUAUUAGGAAGAACACCAGUGGCGAAGGCGGCUGACUGGUCCGGUUCUGACGCUGAGGCGCGAAAGCGUGGGGAGCAAACAGG